rnacentral:rRNA from 1 species
CUACGGUGAAUACGUUCCCGGACCUUGUACACACCGCCCGUCAAGCCAUGGAAGCUGGGUGUACCCAAAGUCGAUAACCGUAAGGAGUCGCCUAGGGUAAAACUAGUAACUGGGGCU